rnacentral:misc_RNA from 1 species
AAGUCGUAACAAGGUCUCCGUUGGUGAACCAGCGGAGGGAUCAUUACUGGGUGGCUUCGGCCUAAACCCCUAACCAUUGUGAACGAUACCAGUUGCUUAGCUGGUGGCGGUGAAAACUGCAGUACCGGCGGCACAAACUCUUCUAAUGUCAUCUCUGAGUUACUUUUAAAUAAGUCAAAACUUUCAACAACGGAUCUCUUGGUUCUG